rnacentral:rRNA from 1 species
GACGAACGCUGGCGGCGUGCUUAACACAUGCAAGUCGAACGGAAAGGCCCUGCUUUUGUGGGGUGCUCGAGUGGCGAACGGGUGAGUAACACGUGAGUAACCUGCCCUUGACUUUGGGAUAACUUCAGGAAACUGGGGCUAAUACCGGAUCGGAGCUCCUGCUGCAUGGUGGGGGUUGGAAAGUUUCGGCGGUUGGGGAUGGACUCGCGGCUUAUCAGCUUGUUGGUGGGGUAGUGGCUUACCAAGGCUUUGACGGGUAGCCGGCCUGAGAGGGUGACCGGCCACAUGGGGACUGAGAUACGGCCCAGACUCCUACGGGAGGCAGCAGUGGGGAAUAUUGCACAAUGGGCGGAAGCCUGAUGCAGCAACGCCGCGUGCGGGAUGACGGCCUGCGGGGUGUAAACCGCUUUCGCCUGUGACGAAGCGUGAGUGACGGUAAUGGGUAAAGAAGCACCGGCUAACUACGUG